CACCAACAAAAAAAGACAAAAGCAAUCCCUUAUUGAAAAUGGUUGUUUCUACCAUCAAAAACUUUCCCUAUGAUCUGAUUUAAUUUUGAAUUUUUCUUUUUUCAAUUUCUGAUGAGGAAAGCCUGAAUUCAUGGAUUUUCAAGGUUAGUAUGAAUAAUCACUUGCAUGUUUACUUUUUGCUGUUAAGUGGACUCAAAAUAAUCAAUUAAAAUUUAUGGCUUAAAUCAUGAAACAUGCUGCUUUAAUUUUAGUUUCCCUCCUAAAAUUCGAUUUCGACAAUGGUGUGAGGGAAAUGCUACUGCUGUAAAAGAAUCUCAUAAUUUUCAUCUGGUUUUCUUUAUUUUUCUUUGACUUUUUCAAUUCUUUAUGAGAUGUUUUAAAUUGUGGUGGUUAAGCAUUGUACUUUCUGUAGUAUUCUGCUAAACAGGCGGUAGACAAAAGGAUUGCUUGGAUUUUGAGAAGUGAUAGUAAAAGUGAAAAGAAGAGUGUACUGAUGGUUUUGGAGAGAUUCACCGGUAACAGUGACACAGUAGGGAUAACGAGGCUGAUUGAAAAUUAUAACUAAACGUGGAUUUGGUUAUGUAUUGGCAGACGAAGGAGGAAGGAGGAGGAAUGGGUGGUGAUGUCCGGUGACAGUGGGUAGAAGAUUGAGAAAUGGAAUAGUGAAAGAGAGAGCACUGUUUGGGAUUUCAUUUUUUGGAAAAAAGGGGAUGGAUUUGGAAUUUUUAUAAAAAAAUAAUAUUUUGUAAUAGAUAAUGAUGUGACAUUAAUUUAGCUGAGGUGGAUAUGAUAUGUCUUUCAUGUUAGGCGAGUGAGCAACACAUGUGUUUAAAAUUUACGUUUUGAUCGAGUUCAAGUAUCCGAUUGAAACUUUGUUUAGUAAAGGGACCGGGAUGACAAAACCAAACUAAUACAAGUGUCUCUCAGACUAUUCUGACUUCUUUUAAUUGCCAACUUUACAAUUCUAUUUAGCAACACUGUUAGGGGUUGUUUGGUAUAAGGGAUAAGAUGUAGGAUUAAAUUUAUACUGUGUUUGAUUGACGAUGUAAAUUUAUAUCUCUAACCAAACAAGGUAUAAAUUUAAUCUCAGGCUUAAUCCAUAAUAUCUCAUCUUAUCCCACCUUAUCCCAUCAAAUGCAAAAUUAUUUUAUCUCAUCUCUCAUGUGGUAUAAAUUAGUUCUGAAAUUAGAAUACGAGAAUAAUUUAGUCCGCGUACCAAAUGAGUCUUUAUGUUAUUAUUAAGCCUUUCGGGUCUUGAGAGGGAGACUCAUGUAUGUAAAUUAUAAAGCGUGAAAAUGAAAAAGGUUAAAGAAGGAGGGAGGAACUUCAACUUUCCUGGUACAAAUUACAUUGGGCACGUGUAAAAGGUGAUGAGACAAUGUUAUAGACAUUUUUUUAAUUCGAUGUCAAAUCAAACAAGCAAAGUUUUUCCAAGUGGAUUUCAAACUUACAAUAUGUUUAAUCAAACAAGGAAAGACUGCCCAAGAAUUGGAUCGCCAACUUCAACUUUCCUCAUCUGCAUUUUAAAUUUUAAUAUUUCUCUCCCUGUGGUUGCCCCACGCAUACUUAGCCCUUGGAAAUGUUUAGGAUCUUGCAAUGCUUGUAAUUAACGACCCUAUAGGGUCCCAGGUACAAUAAAUUAUUGAUUAUUCUGAUUGGCAGAAAGAAAACAAGUCAUCUUUUCUUUCUUCUUUCGCACAUUAUUUUAUUUCUUCAUUUUCUU
rnacentral:lncRNA from 1 species